rnacentral:rRNA from 1 species
GACGAACGCUGGCGGCGUGCCUAAUACAUGCAAGUCGAACGCUUUUUCUUUCACCGGAGCUUGCUCCACCGAAAGAAAAGGAGUGGCGAACGGGUGAGUAACACGUGGGUAACCUGCCCAUCAGAAGGGGAUAACACUUGGAAACAGGUGCUAAUACCGUAUAACAAUAGAAACCGCAUGGUUUCUAUUUGAAAGGCGCUUUUGCGUCACUGAUGGAUGGACCCGCGGUGCAUUAGCUAGUUGGUGAGGUAACGGCUCACCAAGGCAACGAUGCAUAGCCGACCUGAGAGGGUGAUCGGCCACAUUGGGACUGAGACACGGCCCAAACUCCUACGGGAGGCAGCAGUAGGGAAUCUUCGGCAAUGGACGRAAGUCUGACCGAGCAACGCCGCGUGAGUGAAGAAGGUUUUCGGAUCGUAAAACUCUGUUGUUAGAGAAGAACAAGGAUGAGAGUAAAAUGUUCAUCCCUUGACGGUAUCUAACCAGAAAGCCACGGCUAACUACGUGCCAGCAGCCGCGGUAAUACGUAGGUGGCAAGCGUUGUCCGGAUUUAUUGGGCGUAAAGCGAGCGCAGGCGGUUUCUUAAGUCUGAUGUGAAAGCCCCCGGCUCAACCGGGGAGGGUCAUUGGAAACUGGGAAACUUGAGUGCAGAAGAGGAGAGUGGAAUUCCAUGUGUAGCGGUGAAAUGCGUAGAUAUAUGGAGGAACACCAGUGGCGAAGGCGGCUCUCUGGUCUGUAACUGACGCUGAGGCUCGAAAGCGUGGGGAGCAACAGGAU